AAAGCUGAAAAAAUAUUCUGCCUGGCAGAUUUUUUAAUGCUUCAUUUAAAAAUAAAAUAAUAAAUAAAAAGUAUGGUAACCCUUCCACCAUCCCUAACCACUUCAUCCAAGUGAAAGAGAUGCCGUCCAUUUCAUCCCUUCCUGCCACAAUGAGCCCAAAUUCAGGACAACUUGUCUCGUGUGAAAACUGGUCUAGAACAGUGCUGUAAACCUUACUUCUGAGAAGUGGUACAGUCCAUCAGCCCUCAGGAUCUGAGGUCCACAGCAGGACAUGAGGGUUUUGAAUCACUGAGAAAAGCUGAUGAAAAAAGAAAAUAUACAACUAAAGGAAGAAUAUCAAAACAGCAUCAAAGAAUAAACUGUGCCUCUCUUCUCAAAACUGGAAUCCUAAGUGCUGUGUUUCUGCCACAGGUGGACCCUUUGUCCCAGAUAGCAACAAGGA